rnacentral:rRNA from 1 species
GGAUCCAGAUCAAGCUUGCUUUGGUUUGGUGAGAGUGGCGCACGGGUGCGUAACGCGUGAGCAACCUACCCUUGUCAGGGGGAUAGCCCGGCGAAAGUCGGAUUAAUACCGCAUGACAUCAUUGAGAGGCAUCUUUCGAUGAUCAAAGAAUUAUCGGACAAGGAUGGGCUCGCGUGACAUUAGCUAGUUGGUAAGGUAACGGCUUACCAAGGCUGCGAUGUCUAGGGGCUCUGAGAGGAGAAUCCCCCACACUGGUACUGAGACACGGACCAGACUCCUACGGGAGGCAGCAGUAAGGAAUAUUGGUCAAUGGACGGAAGUCUGAACCAGCCAUGCCGCGUGCAGGAGGACUGCCCUAUGGGUUGUAAACUGCUUUUAUACGGGAACAAACGUCGGUACGUGUACCGGUCUGAGUGUACCGUAAGAAUAAGGAUCGGCUAACUCCGUGCCAGCAGCCGCGGUAAUACGGAGGAUCCGAGCGUUAUCCGGAAUUAUUGGGUUUAAAGGGUGCGUAGGCGGCCAAAUAAGUCAGGGGUGAAAGUCGGCAGCUCAACUGUCGCAGUGCCUUUGAUACUGUUUGGCUUGAAUUCGGUUGAAGAUGGCGGAAUGAGACAAGUAGCGGUGAAUGCAUAGAUAUGUCUCAGAACCCGAUUGCGAGGCGGUAUCUAAGCGUUAUUGCGCUGAUGCACGAAGCGUGGGAGCAACAGAU